rnacentral:lncRNA from 1 species
ACUCUUCUCUCUCCUGCUGCCAUGUGAGAAGGUCCAAGCUUACUUUCCCUUUGCCUUCCAACAUGAUGGUCCUGCUGAGGAUCCCUGGUGCCCAGUAGGGAACACCGUGAGGAGGAGGAUUAAGAAAGGCACCCUUUCCACUGAUUUGCAUCGCCAUUUGUACAUGGAGUUUGGCUACAGCAAAAUCCGUUGCUAUCUCACCAGCUACAAGAAGCAAAGAACGAAUUGCAAUUCAUUUUUGUGCUCUAGGACCCGGUUGAGGUCUCCUUGCUGACAAAAAAGGAAAUGACUUCUGAAGACAUGAAAAAAAAAAAACAGGGUGAAGACAAAUUGGGUUAGAAUAACCCAUGACCUAGAUCAUUAGACUUUGACUAAUGAAGAACUGCCUUUUAACAGAGUUAAAAUUGACAGCACCAUGGCCUCACACCCAACAGGGUUUGAGGCUGGACCCUUCUUUGACAAACGAUGCCCUGAUUUACGCGCAAAAAUACCCAUCACAGCAUUAUUUAUAAUAUUCCCUGUCCAAUGCUGGGGACCUAGUUCAAUUAGCUAUAGAACAGCCAUUUGAUGAAAUAUUAUAAAGCUAUUAAAAUAAUAGGGGCAAAGAAAUUUUAAAACAUGGGGAAAGCCUUGAUGUUGUAAUAUUAAAUGAAUGAAGGAAUUCUAUGAAUGAAACUCAUUAAAACAUGUCUUCACAGUAGCUGCAUUGAUUGCACAUUUACUAUCGUUCAGGCAUCUUUUCCAAAUGUGAUACAGGAGGGCAAGCUUGGAAACAAGACGGGAACCUCUUGAUCCAUGGCACAAUGCUGUCGACCCCUAAGUUCUUCCUCUUUAUCUAAACCCAGGUUUGGAAGUACACCAAAAUAUUAAUACUAUACAUCAUUGCAAGCUUUCCUUCUUUGAUCCUCUGUAUUUUGUAAAUGUUCCAACACCUUUUAAAAUACACUUUUGUUCUCCUUUAAAGUCUCCCUGAGAGCUUCUAGAAGGCAGCUGCUGUGGGCUCACAUCAUCCAUCCUUCCCCCCGCAAAUGUGUAAAUAAAGAAACACCUCUGUGCCUUUAAAUUAUAACAGGCUAAACUUUCCCCUGUAAGUUGAUACUCAGACCAGAAGUCUGUGGGUAGGAAGAGUGUUGUGUUUUUUUGUUGCAGCUUCUUUUGGCUGAUAAACUAGCACUUAAGUGUUUCCCUUUUCCAAACCCCCAAAUGACAAGUAUCUUUGUGGUAAAGUGAUGGCCCAACUGUCAUGGCCAUCAUAAACGGUGCUGAGGACACUUAUUUUUAGUUUACUGUCUAAGGAAGCACUAGGCUUGCUAACCAGAGACCUUGGGGCCCAAACCCCU